rnacentral:rRNA from 1 species
CCCUUAGAUGUCCUGGGCUGCACGCGCGCUACACUGACGAACUCAACGAGCUUAUCACCUUGGCAGAGAUGUCUGGGUAAUCUUUUGAAAGUUCGUCGUGCUGGGGAUAGAUGAUUGUAAUUAUUCGUCUUGAACGAGGAAUUCCUAGUAAGUGUGAGUCAUCAGCUCGCGCUGAUUACGUCCCUGCCCUUUGUACACACCGCCCGUCGCUCCUACCGAUUGAAUGGUCCGGUGAGGUUCUCGGAUUUUUUCUGUUGUUUGGUUCGCUAAACGAUUGAAGAGAGAAGUUACCCAAACCUUACCAUUUAGAGGAAGGAGAAGUCGUAACG